rnacentral:rRNA from 1 species
AGCUCCAAUAGCGUAUAUUAAAGUUGUUGCAGUUAAAAAGCUCGUAGUUGGAUCUCAGGUGCAGGCGGACGGUCCGGCUCGCGCCGGUUCACUGUCCGUAUUUCCUGCCCUACUGGUCUGCCGGCUCUCUCCCGCGGGUGCUCUUCGCUGAGCGUCCCGGGUGGCCGGCGCGUUUACUUUGAAAAAAUUAGAGUGUUCAAAGCAGGCCUCGGCUGCCUGAAUAAUGGUGCAUGGAAUAAUGGAAUAGGACCUCGGUUCUAUUUUGUUGGUUUUCGGAACUGGAGGUAAUGAUUAACAGGGACAAACGGGGGCAUUCGUAUUGCGGCGUUAGAGGUGAAAUUCUUGGAUCGCCGCAAGACGAGCUACUGCGAAAGCAUUUGUCAAGAAUGUUUUCA